rnacentral:rRNA from 1 species
GAUGAACGCUGGCGGCGUGCUUAACACAUGCAAGUCGAACGGAGCUAUUUAAGAAGGAGUUUUCGGACAACGGACUAGAUAGCUUAGUGGCGAACGGGUGAGUAACGCGUGAGUAACCUGCCUUGGAGUGGGGAAUAACACAUGGAAACGUGUGCUAAUACCGCAUAAUGCAACGGGAUCGCAUGGUACUGUUGCCAAAGAUUUAUCGCUCUGAGAUGGACUCGCGUCUGAUUAGCUAGUUGGCGGGGUAACGGCCCACCAAGGCGACGAUCAGUAGCCGGACUGAGAGGUUGACCGGCCACAUUGGGACUGAGACACGGCCCAGACUCCUACGGGAGGCAGCAGUGGGGAAUAUUGGGCAAUGGGCGCAAGCCUGACCCAGCAACGCCGCGUGAAGGAAGAAGGCUUUCGGGUUGUAAACUUCGAAAGAAUGGGAAGAAUAAAUGACGGUACCAUUUAUAAGCUCCGGCUAACUACGUGCCAGCCGCCGCCGUAAUAC